UACGAGGGGGGCAAGCGUUGUUCGGAAUUAUUGGGCGUAAAGAGCGUGUAGGCGGUCAGGUAGGUCCGUUGUGAAAACUCGAGGCUCAACCUCGAGACGCCGAUGGAAACCAUCUGACUAGAGUCCGGAAGAGGAGAGUGGAAUUCCGUGGUGUAAGCGGUGAAAUGCGCAGAUAUCAGGAAGAACACCCGUGGCUAAGGCGGCUCUCUAGUACGGUACUGACGCUGAGACGCGAAAGCGUGGGGAGCGAACAGG
rnacentral:rRNA from 1 species